rnacentral:tRNA from 1 species
GGCCUCAUAGUUCAACGGAUAGAACGGAAGUUUCCUAAACUUUAAAUCCAGGUUCGAUUCCUGGUGGGGCCACAA